UACGGAGGGUGCAAGCGUUAUCCGGAUUCACUGGGUUUAAAGGGUGCGUAGGCGGCUCUGUAAGUCGGUGGUGAAAUCUCCGGGCUUAACCCGGAAACUGCCAUUGAUACUAUUUGUCUUGAAUACUGUGGAGGUCAGCGGAAUAUGUCAUGUAGCGGUGAAAUGCUUAGAUAUGACAUAGAACACCAAUGGCGAAGGCAGCUGGCUGCACAAAUAUUGACACUGAGGCACGAAAGCGUGGGGAGCAAACAGG
rnacentral:rRNA from 1 species